ACGAACGCUGGCGGCGUGCUUAACACAUGCAAGUCGAACGGAAAGGCCCUGCUUUUGUGGGGUGCUCGAGUGGCGAACGGGUGAGUAACACGUGAGUAACCUGCCCUUGACUUUGGGAUAACUUCAGGAAACUGGGGCUAAUACCGGAUAGGAGCUCCUGCUGCAUGGUGGGGGUUGGAAAGUUUCGGCGGUUGGGGAUGGACUCGCGGCUUAUCAGCUUGUUGGUGGGGUAGUGGCUUACCAAGGCUUGACGGGUAGCCGGCCUGAGAGGGUGACCGGCCACAUUGGGACUGAGAUACGGCCCAGACUCCUACGGGAGGCAGCAGUGGGGAAUAUUGCACAAUGGGCGGAAGCCUGAUGCAGCAACGCCGCGUGCGGGAUGACGGCCUUCGGGUUGUAAACCGCUUUCGCCUGUGACGAAGCGUGAGUGACGGUAAUGGGUAAAGAAGCACCGGCUAACUACGUG
rnacentral:rRNA from 1 species